AGAUAAAUCACCUGGAAAUGUAAUGUUAUUAAAACGCAGAAUCAGAUUCAGUGAGUUUGGGGUGGGAUCUGAGAUUCUGCAUUUCUCAUAAGCUCCCAGGUUAUGCCGAU
rnacentral:pre_miRNA from 1 species